rnacentral:rRNA from 1 species
CCUACGGGAGGCAGCAGUGGGGAAUAUUGCACAAUGGGGGAAACCCUGAUGCAGCGACGCCGCGUGAGUGAAGAAGUACUUCGUUAUGUAAAGCUCUAUCAGCAGGGAAGAAAAUGACGGUACCUGAGUAAGAAGCCCCGGCUAACUACGUGCCAGCAGCCGCGGUAAUACGUAGGGGGCAAGCGUUAUCCGGAUUUACUGGGUGGAAAGGGAGCGUAGACGGCAGUGCAAGUCUGGAGUGAAAGGCGGGGGCUCAACCCCCGGACUGCUCUGGAAACUGUACGGCUGGAGUGCAGGAGAGGUAAGUGGAAUUCCUGGUGUAGCGGUGAAAUGCGUAGAUAUUAGGAGGAACACCAGUGGCGAAGGCGGCUUACUGGACUGUAACUGACGUUGAGGCUCGAAAGCGUGGGGAGCAAACAGGAUUAGAUACCCUAGUAGUC